rnacentral:rRNA from 1 species
UACCAGCACCCCGAGUGGUCGGGACGUUUAUUGGGCCUAAAGCAUCCGUAGCCGGUUCUACGAAGUCUUCCGUUAAAUCCACCUGCUUAACAGAUGGGCCGCGGAAGAUACUAUAGAGCUAGGAGGCGGGAGAGGCAAGCGGUACUCGAUGGGUAGGGGUAAAAUCCGUUGAUCCAUUGAAGACCACCAGUGGCGAAGGCGGCUUGCCAGAACGCGCUCGACGGUGAGGGAUGAAAGCUGGGGGAGCAAACCGG